ACAAUGAUACUUCCGUAAUUCGCGGCCCGGUCAGAAAGUAGACGGGGUGGUUGAGAUGCCAAUGG
rfam:Faecalibacterium prausnitzii L2/6 draft genome.